CCCUUAGAUGUUCUGGGCUGCACGCGCGCUACACUGAUGCGCUCAACGAGUUUAUAACCUUGUCCGGCAGGAUUGGGUAAUCUUUUUAAAACGCAUCGUGAUGGGGAUAGAUUAUUGCAAUUAUUAAUCUUCAACGAGGAAUUCCUAGUAAGCGCGAGUCAUCAGCUUGCAUUGAUUACGUCCCUGCCCUUUGUACACACCGCCCGUCGCACCUACCGAUUGAAUGGUCCGGUGAAAUCUUCGGAUUGAGACUUUGAUUUCUUCACGGAAAACGCUGUUUUAAGAAGUUGAUUAAACCUUACCAUUUAGAGGAAGGUGAAGUCGUAACA
rnacentral:rRNA from 1 species